CUGGAAGGAUUGACAGAUUGAGAGCUCUUUCUUGAUUCGGUGGGUGGUGGUGCAUGGCCGUUCUUAGUUGGUGGAGCGAUUUGUCUGGUUAAUUCCGAUAACGAACGAGACUCUAGCCUGCUAAAUAGGUGGCUGGUUUUAUAUGAGCCGCAAAGUUCUUUGGGUUCGCAGUCUUCGAGGGCCAGGGCGGCGGGGUUUGGUUCAGGCGGCGGGCGUACCGUUGCGUGCUUCGGUGCGUGGCGGGCCGUUCGACGUCGGGGCCGGCUCCGCCGUCCCCUCGGAGCCAGCUGCGUUCUCGCGUCAGUCACGACUCUUCUUAGAGGGACAAGCGGCGUUUAGCCGCGUGACAGUGAGCAAUAACAGGUCUGUGAUGCCCUUAGAUGUCCUGGGCCGCACGCGCGCUACACUGAAGGAAUCAGCGUGUUUUUCUCCCCCUGUCCGAGAGGACCGGGUAACCGCUGAACCUCCUUCGUGGUUGGGAUUGGGG
rnacentral:rRNA from 1 species